rnacentral:rRNA from 1 species
UACGUAGGGUGCGAGCGUUAAUCGGAAUUACUGGGCGUAAAGCGUGCGCAGGCGGUUUUGUAAGUCAGAUGUGAAAUCCCCGGGCUUAACCUGGGAAUUGCAUUUGGGGCUGCAAGGCUGGAGUGUGGCAGAGGAGACUGGAAUUCCUGGUGUAGCAGUGAAAUGCGUAGAUAUCUGGAGGAACACCGGUGGCGAAGGCGGCUUCCUGGACCGACACUGACGCUGAGGCGCGAAAGCCAGGGGAGCAAACGGG